rnacentral:rRNA from 1 species
AACGGGGGGGGCAAGCGUUAUUCGUCGUGACUGGGCGUAAAGGGUUCGUAGACGGUUUGUUUUUUUUGCAGUGACAUUUUGUAAUUUAUUACAUUUUUCUGCUUAGUUUAAACAAUUCUUGAGUAUAGUUUAGAAUUUUGGUAUUCUCGAUGGAGGGGUGAAAUCCGUAGAUAUCGAAGGGGACCACCGAUGGCGAAGGCAAAAAUUUAUAUUAUACUGACGUUGAGGGACGAAAGCAUGGGUAUCAAACGGG